ACCAGACCUCCAACUGCAGGUCAUCAUGGGAGAACUGUCUUCUGUUCAUUUACAGUGUUCUGAAUGUUAUUCUGAUGGUUAUGAUCCUGGUGCUAAUCUUGACCUUGCCAUGUCAGAACAGGAACUCUCCUUCAAAACUAACACCAAGACGCCGAAUAGACCAGAGAUUAAAGAAUAUACAAUGAAUCUGCAUGUGUCACAUGUAUUGACGCUGGAGAGACGAAGCAGGUAGGGAAGAGCGGGAGCAGACGUGACAGCAUGGUAAAUAUUAUUUACAGUACAUACCUGCAAGUGGGCAAAAAACCCAACGUUCUUUUUUUUAUUGAACUCGAAUUUUAUUUUGAAGUGGUGCAUAAUCUGAAAAACUGUAAAGCAAACGAACUUUAAUUGCCUGUGUAACCUUGUACAUUUUGUUUACUUAUGUAUACCCCGUGUGUAAAGUUUCUGUGUUAUUUGGUAGAUUUUUUGUAAGAUGUUUGUAUAUUGUGUUAUAAUUGUUGUUAAUAAUAAAAAAAAUGUAUAUAUUUUUUUAAAUACCUCGCCCACCUUAGCCAUUUGAUCCCUGGUUCAUUGAGUGAGGGAAUUAUUUUAUAAAGACAAUGUUUUUGCUUGUAAUUGUAAUGUUGCAGGGAUGCCAACCAUCCUCCUGGUGAUUCCAGGAGAGCUACUGGAUGUGCAGGCUUUUGCGCCAGCCCUGCUCGAACACACCACAUUGUAAAACAUCAGCUGCUCAACAGGACCUUGAUAAGCUGGUGUGUUCGAGCAGGUAGUGUUUGAACAGGGUUGGAUCAAAAGCCUGCACACCCAGAAGCUCUCCAGAUGGAGGUUGAUGGACCACAUGUGUUUUACACAGUAGCCCAUCAGUGUAGAAUUUUACUUUGUGGGGGGUUAAGUGCCUUGCUCAAGGCCACAACGGCAGGAGAUACUGUAUAAUACAUGGGAUCAGAGACCAGCAGUCUUUCAUUGUCAAUACCAGUGAAAUAAUGAAUGUUAUUUUGUGAAGUGGUUCCAUGCAUCAUACAACACAGUUUUCAGUCACCUUUUUGGCCCAUGGCGUUACAGACCUUUUUUUUUGGGGGGGGGGGGGGGGGGGACAAGUGACUUGCUCCUCCAUAUAUUUACAUAUUCUUAAAUCCAUUCCUUUACUUAGAUUUGUGUGUAUUGGGUAUAUGUUGUGAAAUUGUUAGAUAUUACUGCACUGUCGGGGGCUAGAAACGCACGCAUUUGCUACAUCCGCAAUAACAUUUGCUAAACACGUGUAUGUGACCGAUACAAUUUGAUUUGACAUGAUUUGAGCCAUCAGACAAGUAAAAAAUGGUUACUAUCAAGCCCUGAUAACACAUAAAGGGUGAAGUCUACCUUCGGUCACUUCGGUGAUUCUAAAAUUACUAGAUGAAGGCUUUGAAAAAAUAUAUUUCUGUGUUGUAAUUAAUCAUUGGACAGUAACGAAAAUGUCUGUUAUUAAUGAUUAAAUCCAUAAUUUCAUUUAAAAAACAUGCUGUGUUGCCCCUCCCAUUUCUGUCUACCGAACAAAUGUAACUAUUCUUACAGUAAGUAGUAUGUAAGAAGUGUUUUGUAAGGGAGGUCCCUGUUAUCUCAAUGUUGAUAGGCCUGUAUUAGUGGUGCGCGGGUCAGUUGUUUGUUCACCCGCCCCCACGCAAUUUAAUAACCCAUCUGCAACCGCCCGACUAUAUGUGAUAGUGAAAAAUGAGGUCCUCACCCAACCCAAACCCGCCAAUAUAGAAAAUGUGUGUAUGCUACAGUCAGAGACCGCAGAACGAUUUUUUUUACAGGGGUUGCAGGAUUUGGUUGUUGUUGCCUGAUAUUAUAUAUGUUUCUGCUUAUCAUUUCCGACAUUUUGGUAGGCUAUUUGUAAGUCAACUUGUCUGUGAUUAGAUACUUGCAGCUUCUCUUUUGUCAUUCUCCACUCCUGUUCUCUAGUCAAAAUGUAGCCUAUGUGUGUAGGCCUAUAAUUUUACUGCCAGAAAUGCUUAAUUCUGCGUAGGAGUUAAUAAUACAGCUAUGUGUGAGGUUAUAGACCUACAGUCAGUGUCCAGAUAUCAGUUUCCAUUUAACCCAUCUGAACAGUAGGCUACAGUUCCCUUUAAGUGUGAUAGGCUUAUUUGAAAUCCCUGUGUUGUGACUGGUGAGUUUGUAUAUCACCUCACAAUCAUCACACAUAACACGGCAGCACUGAUAUCAUCCUCUUUUACCACUUCAGCAAAUCUUUACCAAACAUUAGGCUACUGUUCUGUCUCUUCCAUCUCUACUACUUUUAUUUUCAACUGUCCAUUUCGCAGCUUUUCUCUUAUUGAAUUAAACAUGGCCCUUUUUGUUUUCUUGGAUCAACAACUGUUUCUGCCCUUUGCAAAAGCAUUAGGCAUGUAUGUUAUUUGGCAUGCUUGGCACACAUAUAGUUAUUUAAGCCUUGGACUUCGCACUAAUGCCAGGUAGCCUUAAAACCCCCUUGGGUAUAUUCAAAAUAACAUAAUAAAAACAUCCCCAUCAAAAUCCCUCAAUUUAAGCUACAGAUAUAAUAAAACAUUGCGUGGGCUGCGUCGCAAUCGACCACUCCGCCUAUGUCGCCCUUCCGCAGCUGUGGUGGGAAGUGGCAGAGCUAUAAGCUGUUUGUCAGACCAUGAGACAUCCCGAGAAUCGGUCAUCACACCAAAGCUUCUGUAGCAUCCGAACGGUUUGGCCUACAAACUAAUAUGAUCACUCUAUAGAAAGGGGAGACUCUCAUGAACACUAUGGAGUUCUUCGUUUUGUCAUGGGACUGGUCUAAAGGUAACCCACUGGUCUAAAGGUAACCCACUGGUUUAAAGGUAACCCACUGGUCUAAAGGUAACCCACUGGUCUAAAGGUAACCCACUGGUCUAAAGGUAACCCACUGGUCUAAAGGUAACCCACUGGUCUAAAGGUAACCCACUGGUCUAAAGGUAACCCACUGGUCUAAAGGUAACCCACUGGUUUAAAGGUAACCCACUGGUCUAAAGGUAACCCACUGGUCUAAAGGUAACCCACUGGUCUAAAGGUAACCCACUGGUUUAAAGGUAACCCACUGGUCUAAAGUUAACCCACUGGUUUAAAGGUAACCCACUGGUCUAAAGUUAACCCACUGGUUUAAAAGUAACCCACUGGUCUAAAGUUAACCCACUGGUUUAAAAGUAACCCACUGGUCUAAAGGUAACCCACUGGUCUAAAGGUAACCCACUGGUCUAAAGGUAACCCACUGGUCUAAAGGUAACCCACUGGUCUAAAGGUAACCCACUGGUUUAAAGGUAACCCACUGGUCUAAAGGUAACCCACUGGUCUAAAGGUAACCCACUGGUCUAAAGGUAACCCACUGGUCUAAAGGUAACCCACUGGUCUAAAGGUAACCCACUGGUCUAAAGGUAACCCACUGGUCUAAAGGUAACCCACUGGUCUAAAGGUAACCCACUGGUCUAAAGGUAACCCACUGGUCUAAAGGUAACCCACUGGUCUAAAGGUAACCCACUGGUCUAAAGGUAACCCACUGGUUUAAAGGUAACCCACUGGUUUAAAGGUAACCCACUGGUCUAAAGGUAACCCACUGGUCUAAAGGUAACCCACUGGUCUAAAGGUAACCCACUGGUCUAAAGGUAACCCACUGGUCUAAAGGUAACCCACUGGUCUAAAGGUAACCCACUGGUUUAAAGGUAACCCACUGGUUUAAAGGUAACCCACUGGUCUAAAGGUAACCCACUGGUCUAAAGGUAACCCACUGGUCUAAAGGUAACCCACUGGUCUAAAGGUAACCCACUGGUCUAAAGGUAACCCACUGGUCUAAAGGUAACCCACUGGUCUAAAGGUAACCCACUGGUCUAAAGGUAACCCACUGGUUUAAAGGUAACCCACUGGUCUAAAGGUAACCCACUGGUUUAAAGGUAACCCACUGGUCUAAAGGUAACCCACUGGUCUAAAGGUAACCCACUGGUCUAAAGGUAACCCACUGGUCUAAAGGUAACCCACUGGUUUAAAGGUAACCCACUGGUCUAAAGGUAACCCACUGGUUUAAAGGUAACCCAC